AUGAGGCUUUGGUUCCAUUUAAUGUUCAUUGUAGCGACUUUGGAAGGUGUCCGGUCCCAGGUGCAGCUGGUGGAGUCCGGAGGGGAUGUGAAAAAGCCCGGAGACUCUCUCCGCCUCUCCUGCACAGCCUCCGGGUUCACCUUCAGCAGCUACAGGAUGGACUGGGUCCGCCAGGCUCCCGGGAACGGGCUGGAGUGGACCGCCAGUAUUUAUACCACUGGCAUAUACUACAGUGACUCGGUAAAAGGGCGAUUCACCGUCUCCAGAGAUGACCCCAACAGCCUGUUGUACCUGCAAAUGACCGGCCUGAAACCCGAGGACACCGCCCGGUAUCACUGUGUGAGACACCGGCAGGGCUCGUACAAAAACCAGAGACGCAGAACCGCCCUUCCGCUAUGCGCCGCGCUGGGGCAGCACUUCCACAAACAAUCCAACCCUUCAGUAUCAGAGGGGUAG